rnacentral:misc_RNA from 1 species
AGUCGUAACAAGGUUUCCGUAGGUGAACCUGCGGAAGGAUCAUUACCGAGUGCGGGCCCUCUGGGUCCAACCUCCCAUCCGUGUCUAUCUGUACCCUGUUGCUUCGGCGUGGCCACGGCCCGCCGGAGACUAACAUUUGAACGCUGUCUGAAGUUUGCAGUCUGAGUUUUUAGUUAAACAAUCGUUAAAACUUUCAACAACGGAUCUCUUGGUUCCGGCAUCGAUGAAGAACGCAGCGAAAUGCGAUAAUUAAUGUGAAUUGCAGAAUUCAGUGAAUCAUCGAGUCUUUGAACGCACAUUGCGCCCCCUGGUAUUCCGGGGGGCAUGCCUGUCCGAGCGUCAUUGCUGCCCUCAAGCACGGCUUGUGUGUUGGGCUUCCGUCCCUGGCAACGGGGACGGGCCCAAAAGGCAGUGGCGGCACCAUGUCUGGUCCUCGAGCGUAUGGGGCUUUGUCACCCGCUCCCGUAGGUCCAGCUGGCAGCUAGCCUCGCAACCAAUCUUUUUAACCAGGUUGACCUCGGAUCAGGUAGGGAUACCCGCUGAACUUAAGCAUAUCAAUAAGCGGAGGAA